ACGUUGCUAAUGGUUACCUGAACACAGUUUUUGCUGGUAGAAGCAAUUUUUAUCCGGCGGCGUACGAAAUGGCAAGCAACCGGUACAUCAGGAUAAACACGAGUAACGAAAGAUCGGCAGUGAUAACGACAGCAUAGUACAAACAUGUUCGUGAGAGAAGAAAAAUUGAGAAGCCGCCAGGCGUAAGUAGUGUUGGCUUUUCGUCUGAUGGGUAGUAUAAAGUGAUUCGAGUUUGUAAUGGCUCUAACAAACCAAUUAUGUAGCGCAUUAAAGGAAGUUAAAGCUAUAUUUCCAAUUGAUUCCCACACUCAAAUAAAAAACUGAGUGAAAGUAAUAUCGACAACAUUAUGUUAUUGGUUAACAAUAUAUUACAGCCAUUAUAAGCGGGAUUAAUGUUAUUGGAGAGCCUGAGUUGUAGGAAUUGUGAAAUAAGACGCAACAUUGAAAACCAGUAAGCAAGAGUUCUAUUCAGGCAAAAAAUAAUUGAAGAACAGUAUACGGCCAAAGUAGCUUGAGCCGAUAUUUUAUUCACUUCUUGGAAGGACCAGAAAUUCAAAGACUACCCCAACAUCCUGACGUAAACUGAAUUUACAGUGUAAAAAUGCUCUUAGCAGAUACUACACAUGACUAAUGAGCAUGAUUAGAACGCACGCUCAACAACAAAUUGGAGGCUUUUCUAUGGUAGGAAUAACAAAAUGAUUGAAAUCAGCUUUCUGGUUUAAAAUUGAGAGAUGAUGAUUAGUAAACGAACAAAAUUUUAAUUAACCCCUUUCGAAAGACAUUUUAAGAAUAUUACAGUAUUUCGAAGUAAAUUGAAUUUUUCAUUGUGGAGACGCUUACAGCAGAUCUCCCUCGUAUAUGUACACAUGAUUUAGUGGUGUAGUGUGCAUCGAUGCUACACGUGAUUUCGAGUAAUAACUUCCUUCCUUCCUGCAAAACGGCUACGUCAAUUUAAAGUGCAGGAUGCAAGAAAUUAGACAAAAACUUGUCCUAAUUUUUCCUGAUGAAUGUUAUCGGUGGUUAUCCGCACGCAAUUCUUGUUAAUAAGAACAAUUAUGUAGAGUAAUCCCAAAGGUAUAUCACGAUAAACAUGUGUUAAAAAACAAGGCGAUAAGAGCCUCAACCAGACAUAAUCGUUAGGGUCUCUGGGCGAAGGAAAAGAAGCCACUAGAGGUUGAUACGGUUUUAAUAAUGACUUUGAUAGACCAAUUAUGUAGCUAAUUAAACCAAGGAAAGGCUAUUUCGAAUUAAUUUCCACCCUCAAUUCAAUACUGUAUGCAAACAAUAUUGAUAACUUUAUGUAAUGAUUAAAUGAUGGUAAAUGAAAACCACCAUAGGGUAAAUGAAACUCGAUAAGCUGAUUUGUAAAAAUUUAGAAGCAAGAUUCUUAUUGAACGGAAAUAGGCCUGACUCAUAUUCAUGAAAAAAUAUAUGAGCGCAUAUGAGGAAAAGAAGCCACUAGAGGUUAACAGUGUUGGCUUCGCGUCUGAUCUGUGGGAUAAGGUGAUACGGCUUUAAUAAUGACUUUGAUAAACCAAUUAUGUAGCUCUGAGCAAACCAGGGAAAGGCAAUUUCGAAUUAAUUCUCACCCUCAAUUGAAAACUAUUCGAACAAUAUCGAUAACUAUGUAAUGAUUAAGUGAUGGUAAAUGAAAACCACCAUAGGGUAAAUGUAACUCGAUAAGCUGAGUUGUAAAAAUUUAGAAGCAAGAUUCUAAUUGAAAGCAAAUAGGCCUGACUCAUAUUCAUGAAAAAAUACAUGAACAUACUAAAGAAAAACUAAGUAAGGCUGUAGAGGGGCUAACGCUCGAAACGUCAGCUUUAAAAACUCUGUACUGUGGCUAAUUUAGAUAACGAAUUCAGUUGAUUUAACCAAAUUAUCUUGUAAUACCCUUCAUCGACGUGGUUCACAGUUUCGUAAGAAGCUUACCCCCUCUGUCCAUUUGUAGUUUAGGCUGAUAUUUAAUUAAUGCCUUGGGAAGACAUCAAAUAGUGUUCCAACAUCCCAGGGUAAAUUGAAUGUUUUUCAUCAGAAAAAUGCAUUAAAAAGAUCGCCCUUAUGCAUUUCAUGUCGUAUUGAAGCGUGCAUCAAUACCAAGUAUGAGUUGAGGCAUGAUCAGCACGUGAUCAACGACGAAAUGGCGGCUUUUUCUUUUUGGAAGGAUAAAACAGGUAGGUUAGAUCAUAAAAGAGUUUCACAAUCCAUCUAUUUUCUUCAGUUUCUGAAUCAAGACAUAACUUUCUCUGUAUACAAUGACCUCGCCAUUUCGCUCCGCUGUAAAGGAGAGUAAAAAACGUAAAAUUGGGGGAUCGCCAUCAAUAAACGUGACUUCGUACCAAGGCUUUGUGGGCUUGCUCUGACACGACGAAUGACGAAGUGCCAAUGCUCGAAACGCCAGCGUUGAAACUCAAAACGGUGGCCAAUUUACAUUAUCAACUCAGCUGAUAAAAUCAAAUUAUCUUGUAAUAGCCCUUAUCGACCCAGCACCACAUGCAGAGCUCCUGGUUCACAGCAACUUUUUCGCGACAGCUAAGAAUUUUAUUACCACAUUGUAUACUAGAAUCAACAGCGAUCAAGAAAGAACUGAAAUUGUCCAAAUAUAUAUCAGAAAGAGCAAAAGGCCAAAUACAGAGCCUUAAACUGACAUGUGCUACAGAUUGUAAAAGUCCUUCCAGAUUUAUGCAGACCUAGUAUUAUCGUCUGCAUUUGGCCUGUAGGAUAAGACGAGAGCCAAAUGUAUGUGACUUUGUGAAAACUAUAUUGAUAUCAUGACCAUAUAUGAAAAUAAAAUUUUAUCACCAACUUU